UCUCGUAAGAUUACCGAAGUUAAGCGAUUUUGAGCCUGGUCAGUACCAAAUGUGUGACCGUCUGGGAAUACCAGGUGAUGUAAG